rnacentral:lncRNA from 1 species
CUCAAUACUCAUCUGUCUUGUCCUAUUUCUAGCACUUACCAGUGUUUACCACUCAUUUCUCAUAGAGACACUGUCCCCUGGGCAUCAGUAGUAGGUCAUUGAUCACCUAGUAGAUAUUUCAAACUGGAUGUCUCAGUGAUCUAAAACAUAACAUAUCCAAAACUGAACUCUACUUCUCUCCCCUCUCAUGCCAUUCUUCUUCUAAAUUCGCCAUUUCUAUUGAAGGCAUCACUGUCCUUCAAGUUUCCCAGGUUUAUAACCGCAGCUCUAUCCUCUAUUCUUCGUUCUUCCUCACCCCACAAGCCAAUCAGCUAUCAAAUCCUGCCACUUUUACCUUCAUAAUAUCUUUUAUGACUGGUCUCUUGAACACUCAAAUGGCUCCAGCCUUAAUUCAGGCCCUCAUAUCUUCUCCCUUAUUGCUUAGAUUAUUUUCUUCAUUGGCCACACUGCCUCAAGUCUAUUUUUCAGCACUGGUCCUCAGUUUCCUCUCCUUAAUCGUCAUCUAUUGUGUGAGAGGAGGAAAUCCAGAAACUUUUUUGGUCAUGCAAAGAGCCCAGAAUGGAUGCAAAGAUCACAGCUGCAGCAGUGGGGGAUGGGCAAAGGGAUCUUGGAAUUCUGAGAGAAAGGAAUUCAGAGGGAGACAGUUGGUGUCUGUGUCUUUGGCUUUGAGACUGCUAAGGAAAAGAAACCUCAAGUUCAAUUAAAAAUCAACUAAGAUAGCCAGAACAACAGCCAGAGAGAGAGAAAGAGAAAGGAAGAAAAUAGAACAACCCAUCAUUUCAAGGCCAGUCCAGUCCUGCCCCAACUUCCUCAGGGUGAAACAUUUAUAAACGUGAGGUAUAAAGUCUGGGUGAAUUAGAGAAAGGGAUAGGGGAAAAGAAAGACAUUCCUCCUCCCAUAGCAGUCUAUGGGGGUGAGGAGAGGAAGGCAUUUAACAAGAAGACUCUGCAUUUAUGCCAUCAACCCCAUCCUGGAAUGCAGGAUGUGAAUAGAAGAUGUAGUGGGAAGGGGUGACAAUGAGGCACCUACUUCCCUGGAAUCUCUUUGGGGACUGUGUAGGGAAGAAGGUAUUCUGGAUGCUAGGGACCCCAUAGGCAGAUGGGGUACAAGGAAUUAACAGAAAGAAAAGAGGUUAGAGAAGCUGAGGGGUCACAGAGAGUUGGGAGCUCAGCCAAGAAACCCAUCAAGGUCAUCAUCUUCAAAGUGGCCCUGCUAAAAGACCUUGAUGUUGUCCUCAUUAGAUUUUGAGGACUGACCCUAAAUGGAUAAUGAGGAUAGUUAGCACAUCAAUGCCUUACAUCAGCAGAAGAGACUUCCCUGUCAAUUUCACUUAAAGAAGUAUUUAUAUUACUAAUGAAAUCUCACUAAUCUUCAAAAUACUAAAAUCUAAAAAUAUAAAUUUUCAAUUAAUUUUUCAGCUACAAACCACAUGAAAGAUGACUUUCCUUUUAAUUCUCGAAAAUUUCCUUUUGAUAAUUUUAAUAACUGGGUAAGUUUGUAGUUUUAAAAUUUGCUAAUAUUACUACAUAAUGAAUAAAAUGGGAAAAUUAUAUCA